GAUGAACGCUGGCGGCGUGCCUAAUACAUGCAAGUCGAGCGAACAGACGAGGAGCUUGCUCCGCUGAAGUUAGCGGCGGGCGGGUGAGUAACACGUGGAUACCCGACCUAUAAGACUGGGAUAACGUCGGGAAACCGGAGCUAAUACCGGAUAAGAUAUUGAACCGCAGGGUUCAAUAGUGAAAGAGGGUUUUGCUGUGACUUAUAGAUGGACCCGGGCCGCAUUAGCAAGUUGGUAAGGUAACGGCUUACCAAGGCAACGAUGCGUAGCCGACCUGAGAGGUGGUUCGGCCACCCUGGACCUGAGACCCGUCCCAGCUCCCUACGGGAGGCAGCGGUAGGGAAACUGCCGCAAUGGGCGAAAGCCUGUCGGAGCAACGCCGCGGGAGUGAUGAAGGCCUUCGGUUCGUAAACCCCUGUUAUUAGGGAAGAACAAAUGUGGAUGUAACCAUGCACGUUUGGCCGGUACCACAUCAGAAAGCCCCGCCUACCUCCUU
rnacentral:rRNA from 1 species